rnacentral:rRNA from 1 species
UAGGGAAUCUUCGGCAAUGGACGAAAGUCUGACCGAGCAACGCCGCGUGAGUGAAGAAGGUUUUCGGAUCGUAAAACUCUGUUGUUAGAGAAGAACAAGUACGUUAGUAACUGAACGUCCCCUGACGGUAUCUAACCAGAAAGCCACGGCUAACUACGUGCCAGCAGCCGCGGUAAUACGUAGGUGGCAAGCGUUGUCCGGAUUUAUUGGGCGUAAAGCGAGCGCAGGCGGUUUCUUAAGUCUGAUGUGAAAGCCCCCGGCUCAACCGGGGAGGGUCAUUGGAAACUGGGAGACUUGAGUGCAGAAGAGGAGAGUGGAAUUCCAUGUGUAGCGGUGAAAGACGUAGAUAUAUGGAGGGACACCAGUGGCGAAGGCGGCUCUCUGGUCUGUAACUGAAGCUGAGGCUCGAAAGCGUGGGGAGCAAACAGG